GGGCCCGCACAAGCGGAGGAACAUGUGGUUUAAUUCGAUGAUACGCGAGGAACCUUACCUGGGCUUGAAUGCAGGUUGACAGACUGGGAAACUAGUCCUUCUUCGGACAGCUUGCAAGGUGCUGCAUGGUUGUCGUCAGCUCGUGCCGUGAGGUGUAGGGUUAAGUCCCAUAACGAGCGCAACCCUUAUCGUUAGUUGCCAGCGGGUAAUGCCGGGGACUCUAACGAAACUGCCGGUGUAAACCGUGAGGAAGGUGGGGAUGACGUCAAAUCAGCACGGCCCUUAUGUCCAGGGCGACACACGUGUUACAAUGGCCGGUACAAAGGGCAGCUACCUGGUAACAGGAUGCUAAUCUCUAAAACCGGUCUCAGUUCGGAUCGAAGUCUGCAACUCGACUUCGUGAAGCUGGAUUCGCUAGUAAUCGCGCAUCAGCCAUGGCGCGGUGAAUACGUUCCCGGGCCUU
rnacentral:rRNA from 1 species